AUGGGAUAACAGAAGGAAAGAAGAGACAGGGACAGAGUCGUCCAGAGAGGGGGAGGAGAGACAGAUGGGGAGAGACAGACAGAGACCGAGGGUUGGGAGAGGAGAGAAAGGGAGAAAGGGAGAGAGAAAUGGGGGGUGGGGGGCAAGGUCUUAAUGGAGAGAAGGAUGCUUCAGAGAGAGAGAGAAAGAUGGAGAGAGAGGGAACGGACAAGAGAGUAAAUAAUAAGAGAAAUUUAGGGGAGAAGGCUCUGAGUGGCAGAAGGUGGCUGGACACGGAAAAGCAGGUGCAGAAGGAGAGAGAGAGACCCAAAGAGAGAGAGAGGUGGAGAGCGCUUGACUGGGAGAGACCCCGGGAACGAGACACAGAGAGACACUGAGGAGGCAUCAGAAGGAAGCUGGAGGAAAACAGGAGAGGGGCCAGGCUCCGAUGGAUGAAGGAGGGAGAGGGACGCAGCUGUGAACAGUAAUGGUCACCGAUAUAAAUUGAGUGCCGAAUAUUACAGACUCGAAGUCAUUUACAGGCAUUGCCUCGGUCUUCGGCUUCUGUUAUUAGCCCCCAUUUCAAAGAUGUGGAGACUGAGACCGAGAGAGGUCAGAGAGGGCCACGUGGUGAAGACCCGAGGAUGGCAUCCACUAGCAAGAACACAGGAACAACCUCAGCUGUACGAUCACACGGAAAUGAUCGCUCUCUCCUGAGGGAGCUUGGGAAUGGACCUCUCCCUAAUCGAACUUCCAGAUGAGGAUGCGGCCAGCCGGCAUCUUGAUUGCAGCCUUGGGAAGCCCCGAGUGGAGGACCCCGUGCGCUGUACUGGCGUCCUGAGCCACUGAAAGUGUGAGAUAAUAAAUACAU